rnacentral:rRNA from 1 species
AUUGAACGCUGGCGGCAGGCCUAACACAUGCAAGUCGAGCGGAGCGGCGGACGGGUGAGUAAUGCCUAGGAAUCUGCCUGGUAGUGGUGGAUAACGUCCGGAAACGGGCGCUAAUACCGCAUCCUAUCAGAUGAGCCUAGGUCGGAUUAGCUAUUUGGUGAGGUAAAGGCCUACCAAGGCGACGAUCCGUAACUGGUCUGAGAGGAUGAUCAGUCACACUGGAAAGGAGACAAGGGCCAGACUCAAACGGGAGGCAGCAGUGGGGAAUAUUGGACAAUGGGCGCAAGCCGGAUGCAGCCAGGCCGCGUGUAUGAAGAAGGCCUUCGGGUUGUAAAGUACUUUCAGCGGGGAGGCGUUACCCGCAGAAGAAGCACCGGCUAACUCCGUGCCAGCAGCCGCGGUAAUAC